CUGAAAACAGAAAUUCGAAAAGGGUUCAAAAAACAGAAGUUAGGGGAAGAAAAAGGUUAAAGAAAACAGAAGUGUAUCAUUAUUGUUUAGCCAGAUGACCGCCACAAUCACAUUUGGUAGCAUCAGAGGCAGGGGGUUGUGCUGGGGAGGACACUGCCAGCAACCAUCUUUUCUCUGGUUUGUUAAUUUUGUAUACUUAGUUAAAUUGUGGGUUCAAUUCUCUGAUGUAACUGAUAGAUUUGAAUUACACGAUAGUACGAUUCAUGAAGUAACUCAUGUUGAAAAUUCGAUCUUUGUACUCUAUA